CUCAAAGGAAUAGACGGGGACCCGCACAAGUGGUGGAGCAUGUGGUUUAAUUCGAAGAUACGCGAAGAACCUUACCUAGCCUUGACAUUGAUAGAAUACACCAGAGAUGGAGUAGUGCCUUUCGGGGAACUUGAAAACAGGUGCUGCACGGCUGUCGUCAGCUCGUGUCGUGAGAUGUUGGGUUAAGUCCCGCAACGAGCGCAACCCUCGUCCUUAGUUGCCAGCAGGUUAAGCUGGGCACUCUAAGGAGACUGCCUUCGUAAGGAGGAGGAAGGUGAGGACGACGUCAAGUCAUCAUGGCCCUUAUGGCUAGGGCUACACACGUGCUACAAUGGGGCGUACAGAGUGUUGCGAUACCGCGAGGUGGAGCUAAUCACUUAAAGCGUCUCUCAGUUCGGAUAGCAGUCUGCAACUCGACUGCUUGAAGCUGGAAUCACUAGUAAUCGUAGAUCAGCAAUGCUACGGUGAAUACGU
rnacentral:rRNA from 1 species